CCUGAGCUGAAAUCAAGAGUUGGACACUCAAAUGAAUGAGCUACUCAGUGGUUUUUAGGGAGAGCCAAGGGAGGGCUUCAGGUGUUUCCCUAGAACCCAUCUGAAUCAUGGAGAUCCACAGCACUGUGCAGAACCAAGACAGAAAAUGAAGUUCUUUUGGUAGAUCAUGGCACAGCCACUAAAGAGUUUGAGGUUCAUGAAUACUUCUAAGGAGAAUCUGGUAGGAAAGGAAGCAGAGAAGAGGGAAGGUAAACUGAUUCUCAGAUUCAAUACAAUCCCUGUCACAAUCUCAGCUGGUGCUGUUGCUAAAAUUGACAAGCUGAUCCUAAAUUCAUAUCAAAAUGCAAGAGGCAAAAACAAAAAAAGAAAGAAAAAAGAAAAGAAAAGAAAUGUAAGAGGUCUAGAAGAGUCAAAACAAUCUUGAAAAAGAAAAAAAAAUUGAAAGACAUAUUUUGUAAUUUCAAAUCUUAGUACAAAGCUAUAGCAAUCAAGACGAUGUGGAAUCAAGACUAGCAUGAGGAUAGACACAAGGAUCAAAGGGAUGGGAUUGAGAAUCCCAUUGUCAAUGUAAACUCUAACAUUUAUAGUCAAUUUUCAACAAAACACAGAUAGUUCAAUGAAGAAAGAACAGUUUUCUCAACAAAGUGCUGAGAUAAAUGGAUAUUUACAUACAAAAGAAGGAAUUGGAACCUUUAUUUUACAUCAUACACAAAAAUAUCUCAAACGAUUGUAAACUUAAAUGUAAGCUAAAACUAUUAGAAUAACACAUCUUUGUGAGCUUAUGUUAGGCAAUUAUUUCUAACAUUAUACCAAAAGUGUAACUGAUAAAAGAAAAAAUAAAUUGGGUUUCAUCAAAAUUUAAAACUUUUGUGCUUUAAACUACAUUAUCAAGAAAUGAAAAGACAGUCAUUGUAAGUUCCUUCAAAUGCCAAAUAUACAUUUACCAUUUGGCCUAGCUAUUCUAUUCCUAAGUAUAUACCCAAGAGAAAUGAGAACAUAUAUCUA